UACGUAGGGACCGAGCGUUGUCCGGAAUCAUUGGGCGUAAAGAGCGUGUAGGCGGCCACUUAAGUCCUGCGUGAAAUCUUGCGGCUCAACCGCAAGCGGUCGUGGGAAACUGGGUGGCUAGAGUGCGGGAGAGGAGAGUGGAAUUCCUGGUGUAGCGGUGGAAUGCGCAGAUAUCAGGAAGAACACCCGUGGCGAAGGCGGCUCUCUGGAACGCAACUGACGCUGAGACGCGAAAGCGUGGGGAGCAAACAGA
rnacentral:rRNA from 1 species